UCGCGACCCCAGGUCAGGCGGGGUUA
rnacentral:rRNA from 1 species